rnacentral:misc_RNA from 1 species
GAUUUGUAUGUCAAUCUCCUCGAAAGCAUUGUUAAUAACUAAUGUGGAAGACAGGAGACACUGGAACUGGUUUCCUACAGAAGAAUCAAGAUUCCAUGCUGUGGCGUAUUGCCAGCAGGUAUGGUGGUUUGAAUUAAGUGGCGCAGUUAGUUUUCCUUUUCCUCCUGGUAUAUACACUGUAACAUUCAGAGUUCACCUUGGGAAAAUAUUUAAAAGACUCGGUCGGCGUGCUUGCAACUUUGAGCAUACUCAUGGAUGGGAUUUGGGGCCAGUACGUUAUGAACUAUCUACUUCUGAUGGGCAACACACAGUUAAUGAGUGCUUCAUAGAUGAUGCUGGGCAAGACGACCCAAUUGGGAAUAUCAGGCGUGGGAGCUGGAUUGAGUACAAGGUGGGUGAAUUUAUUGUCAGUACAUCAGAUCCUGUGACGGAAGUUAGAUUUUCAAUGAAACAGAUCGACUGCACACAUUCUAAAGGCGGACUCUGUGUUGAUUCUGUAUCAAUUACCCCCAGUGAUCUGAAAGUCCAUCCUAGAAAAGGGGUUUAAAGUAUAUCUGUAAGUGACAUGUUUUCUUGUGAAUGCUCUCAGAAAAAUUUCUAUGAGUUCCAUUAUACCGCCUAAAAACAAUACAUUUGAGAAGGUAGUCAUUGUAAAAUUCUUUUUUUGCCUUAGGUAUGUCUU